rnacentral:tmRNA from 1 species
GGGAGUGCCAAGCUUCGACAAUUUAUUUUCUAUCUGAUUGACAAGCCAAGUCGCAGAACUUGUAAAAACUGCAAAAUUAUAAGUGCAAACUUAUUUCAAAAGCCAGUUUUAGCUUUCGCUUAACUGGUUUGUCCCGCCGCUUUUUGCCGCGGGUCCAUCGGCGCGCCAAUGCUUGAUAGACGCAUCACCGGUGUUACACAUCAAGCUUUGCCUUAAUAUUGCUGAUACCUAAGGCGAAACUAAUCAGCAAAAGAUUUAUAGCAUUUUGUUGGCUUUAAGCUAUAGAUCUUCAAAAAAACCAACUACGCUUGUAGAAGAUUUGAUGGUCAUAUUUUGGACGCGGGUGCAAUUCUCGCCACUUCCACAA